GGGGAUAGCUCUCCGAAAGGAGGGGUAAUACCGCAUGAGGUCUUUUUGAUCAAAGACCGUAACUGGUCGCCGAGAGAGGAGCCUGCGUCCUAUCAGCUUGUUGGUAAGGUAAUGGCUUACCAAGGCUAUGACGGGUAGGGGGCGUGAGAGCGUGGCCCCCCACAAGGACACUUAGACACGGGUCCUACAUCUACGGAUGGCAGCAACCGGGAAUAUUGCGCAAUGGACGAAAGUCUGACGCAGCGACGCCGCGUGUGGGAAGAAGGCCUUCGGGUUGUAAACCACUGUGGAGGGGGAAUAAGUUCUGAAGGUACCCCUCUAGAAAGCACCUGCUAACCACGUGCCAGAAGCCUCGGUAAUACGUGGGGUGCAAGCGUUAUCCGGAUUUACUGGGCGUAAAGGGUUUCGUAGGCGGUUUAGUUAGUGUAUGGUUAAAGGCUUCGGCUCAACCGAAGAAAUGCUGUGCAUACUGCUAGACUAGAGGGUUGUCGGGAGUGCCGGAAUUCUCGGUGGAGGGGUGAAAUCCGUUGAUAUCGAGAGGAACACCAAAGGCGAAGGCAGGCACUUAGGCAACAUCUGACGCUAAGGAACGAAAGCUAGGGUAGCAAAAGGGAUUAGAGACCCCUGUAGUCCUAGCCGUAAACGAUGGAUACUAGCUGGUGGACAUUAGUUCGCCGGCGUAAGCUAACGCGUUAAGUAUCCCGCCUGGGAAGUACGGCCGCAAGGCUAAAACUCAAAGGAAUUGACGGGGGAGCGCACAACCGGUGGAGCAUGUGGUUUAAUUCGAUACAAAGCGAAGGACCUCACCCAGACUUGACAUGUAGCUGCAAAUCCUAAGAAACUAGGAUCUUCUUCGAGAGUGCUACACAGCUGUUGCAUGGCUGUCGUCAGUUCGUGUCGUGAGGCGUCCUCUUAAGUGAGGUAACGAACGCAACCCCUAUCGUGUGUUGAAUGUUCACGCGAGACUGCUCUUGAUAGUAUCAAGGGAGGAAGGAGGGGACGACGUCAAGUCAGCAUGACGCUUACGUCUGGGGCCACACACAUCCUACAAUGGGAAGGACAACGGGUUGCCAACCAGUAAUGGGGAGCUAAUCCUUCAAACCUUCCCUCAGUUCAGAUUGAGGGCUGCAACUCGCCCUCAUGAAGUCGGAAUCGGUAGUAAUCGCAGGUCAGCAGACUGCGGUGAAUACGUUCUCGCUCCUUGUACACACCGCCCGUCAAGUGAGCAAAGUUGGCAGUACCUGAAGUCGGUCUCCUAAACCCCUUUUUGGGGAUAGGCCCGCCUAAGGUAAGGUCAGCGAUGAGCGCUAAGUCGUAACAAGGUA
rnacentral:rRNA from 1 species